AGAGUUUGAUCCUGGCUCAGGACGAACGCUGGCGGCGUGCUUAACACAUGCAAGUCGAGCGGAAAGGCCCUUCGGGGUACUCGAGCGGCGAACGGGUGAGUAACACGUGAGCAACCUGCCCUAGGCUUUGGGAUAACCCCGGGAAAUCGGGGCUAAUACCGAAUAUUACCUUCUGCCGCAUGGUGGGGGGUGGAAAGUUU
rnacentral:rRNA from 1 species